AGAGUUUGAUCAUGGCUCAGGAUGAACGCUGGCGGCGUGCUUAACACAUUCAAGUCGAACGGUGAAGGGGGCUUCGGUCCCGGAUCAGUGGCGGACGGGUGAGUAACGCGUGAAUAACCUGCCUGUGUGUGGGGGAUAACAGUUGGAAACGGCUGCUAAUACCGCAUAACGUACGGACACCGCAUGAUGACCGUACCAAAGAUUUAUUGCGCACAGAUGGAUUCGCGUCCGAUUAGAUAGUUGGUGAGGUAACGGCCCACCAAGUCGACGAUCGGUAGCCGGACUGAGAGGUCGAACGGCCACAUUGGAACUGAGACACGGUCCAGACUCCUACGGGAGGCAGCAGUGGGGAAUAUUGGGCAAUGGACGAAAGUCUGACCCAAGCGACGCCGCGUGAGGGAAGAAGAUCUUCGGAUUGUAAACCUUAGUCAACAGGGAAGAAGAAAGUGACGGUACCUGUGGAGGAAGCCACGGCUAACUACGUGCCAGCAGCUGC
rnacentral:rRNA from 1 species